AUUUAGCCCUGGCCCACAUGUCAGUUGAAGAAAGAAAACCCUAGCUAUCCAAUUUUCUUCCCAAAUCUGCCGCCGCCGCUGCUCGCUCCAAAAGCACCAGCGCCCGCGCCCGCACCUUCGGCUCCUCCCGACGCUGCCGCCGGCGCGGGGAGCUCCACGCGCGGGCGGAGGCGGACUGCCGGCAUGGGAGCUCCCCGCGGCUGGCCGACACGGGAGCCCGAGGCGGGAUGGAGACGGCCGGCCUCAGAUCCAUCGACGAGUCUCCAAGCCCCACCAGCCUCCCACCCAUGCGGCCGUCGGCGAUGCUCAGCUGGGCCGCGGUAGCGCUCACUCUCGCGGCCUCGGCGCUCCUCGCCGCCACACCGGCCGCCGUGCCUGGGCGGUGGUGCCAUGGGCGCCGCCGCUCCCAGCCCCCAUUGAAGUUCCUCCGUGAAUCCAGAGCGCAUGACGGCAGCUCGUCCCCGUGGUGCGUGGCAACAUCUUCAGGUAUGCAGGCCCUCUCCAAUCCGGAUCCAAUGGCAUGCGGAGGCGCUACAAGCCCAGAUCUGGUGGAACACUGACAUCAUCAUUUGGCAGGUUUGUGUGCAGACCUGAGGCCGACCCAAAAAUAUUGAGGAUUUCCCUUGUGACUUGCAACUCAUCUCCACUUGGUCUUAUGAACAAUGCAACAUCAUCAGCAUAUAAGGAUAAGCGCUGCCCUGAAAUUCUUGAGGAAAGGGGCUGUAGCAGCCCUUCCUCACCUGCUUUCACAAACAAGCUAUUUAACACGUCCAUGACAAGGAUGAAAAGCAUAGGAGAUAAGGGAUCGCCUUGCCGAAGCCCACGUUGGUGCUGAAUAAGCUGUCCUGGUUCACCAUUCAACAUGACUCAAGUGGAAGAGGUUGAUAGCAAACUCGAGAUCAGAUUACACCACGAUAUGCCAAAGCCCAAAUGAGAGAGAACUUCCAAGAGAAAGGACCACGAAACUGAAUCAAAAGCAUUGGGGGCUAGUAUAUCUGUAUAUGAGACAACUAUAUUCAAGCGCUGUAACAAGGUUCCUAACUGUCUGCAGACCACCUCAUUAUCCAAUAAAUUGUUCAUGUUAUUUGGCCAA